AAACCAACUGCUGCUGAGAAGCAACUCAUCCCUCCUUCCCUCCCAAGUGUCUUGGAAGAAGGGUCAGAAGAAAACCUCCCACAGCAGGAGGCUUCCACAUAGGAGCUCCAUCAGAGGCAAGGGGGCUUCACUGGCAAGUCCUCCGUCUCCCUCUUUAGCUAGAAAUGCACAUGGCUGUACACAGUCCUACAGAUGGAUGAAAAGAACCCAAUAAAAACCAUGUAGAACAUCUGGCCGGUACAUGUAUGGUCACACCAGAAUGGGCCUACGGUGCUUUGAAAUUAUAUAAGCUAACGUAUGUACCAGGGGAGUACAAAGAACACAAAACACAGAGGUCAGAUGAGUAAAAAAGGGAAAAGAAAAAAAUGUGGGAAGAAAGAAGCGAGAAAAGGAGGCAAAAUAAUUAAUAGAUGGGAUUCCUUUUUGUAUUAUUCUUGAAAUGACUGGAAUAAAAGAUGAUUCUCCAGAUUAUAUUCCAAAUACGCAGAAAAAUGCUAGCAAAUGUCAGAACUUGACAUCUUCAAACAAGAAUAGUUGUACACGUACCGACUACCUCCCUCCUGAGUCCCACUCUCAUGUCUAUGCUCCAGGGCACAACGUGGGCUCAUGCAUCAGGCCAAC
rnacentral:lncRNA from 1 species